AUGGGAGGGUCCGGGAAGUGGGUCAAGUCGCUCAUAGGGCUCAAGAAGCCCGACCGGGAGGAUUGCAAGAACAAGCUGCAAGAUCCGUCUGUCCUGGGAGGGGGAGGCAAGGGCCGGAAGUGGAAGCUGUGGAGGAGCUCCUCCGGCGACCACGGCUCCCUGUGGCGCGGCUCCAGAGGCGGCAGCCAGCGGUCCGCGGCGUCGGAGGCCUCCGACGACGCCUCCUCGCUGGCCGCCGCGGCCGCCGACAUGUUCACCGCCGCCCUCGCCACCGUCGCCCGCGCGCCGGCCAAGGACUUCAUGGCCGUCCGGCAAGAAUGGGCCGCCAUCCGCAUCCAGACGGCCUUCCGUGGCUUCCUGGCGCGGCGGGCGCUGCGGGCGCUCAAGGGGCUGGUGCGGCUGCAGGCCAUCGUGCGCGGCCGGCAGGUGCGGAAGCAGGCGGCGGUGACGCUCCGGUGCAUGCAGGCGCUGGUCCGCGUGCAGGCGCGCAUCCGGGCGCGCCGCGUGCGCAUGUCCACCGAGGGCCAGGCCGUGCAGAAGCUCAUCCAGGCUCGCCGCACCAAGCUCGACAUCCUCCGGGAAGCCGAGGAAGGAUGGUGUGACAGCCAGGGAACUCUAGAGGCAGUGAGAGUGAAGCUGCAGAAACGGCAGGAAGGAGCAAUCAAGCGCGAGCGGGCCAUCGCCUACGUGUAUCACGGCGUAGCGAAAUGCAACCUACAGAAGGGCAGCAAUGGCCGAUCCAACCAGUCCGGCCUCCUGCUCAAGCACCAGCACUGCGACAAGAACAACGGCAGCUGGAGCUGGCUGGAGAGGUGGAUGGCGGCGAGGCCCUGGGAGAACCGGCUGAUGGAGGAGCACAACCAGACCAACGCCAGCUCGCCGGACCUGGUGCCGUCCAAGAACUGCGAGGACGCCUUCGGUGUCCUAGGGGACUUCUCCGAACCGAAUUCAGUCAAGGUGAGGAAGAACAACGUGAGCAAGAGGAUCAGCGCGAAACCGCCAGGCGCGACGCACCCUCAGCGUUUCAAAGCUCAGUCGAUCUCGUCCCUGAGCACCGAGCUGCACAACGAUGAGAGCUCGGCCUCAUCGUCGUCAUGCUUUGCAUCAACACCAUUGUCGUUCUCCACCUUGCUCACACCAGAGAAGACCAAUGGCAGCAGCGUCAGGUCAAGGCCGAACUACAUGAGCUUGACGGAGUCCAUCAAGGCGAAGCGAAAGCCCUGCGGCGCGCAGAGAACGACGGCGUCGAAGCAGUUGGAUGAUAGGAAAGCCCCGGGCGCCGAGUUGAAGGCCGCCAAGGCGUAA
rnacentral:rRNA from 1 species